GACGAACGCUGGCGGCGUGCCUAAUACAUGCAAGUCGAGCGGACUUUCAAGAAGCUUGCUUUUUGAAAGUUAGCGGCGGACGGGUGAGUGACACGUGGGCAACCUGCCUGUAAGACGGGGAUAACUCCGGGAAACCGGGGCUAAUACCGGAUAAUAUCUUUCUUCGCAUGAAGGAAGGUUGAAAGGCGGCGCAAGCUGCCGCUUGCAGAUGGGCCCGCGGCGCAUUAGCUAGUUGGUGAGGUAACGGCUCACCAAGGCGACGAUGCGUAGCCGACCUGAGAGGGUGAUAGGCCACACUGGGACUGGGACACGGCCCAGACUCCUACGGGAGGCAGCAGUAGGGAAUCGUCCGCAAUGGGCGAAAGUCUGACGGAGCAACGCCGCGUGAGCGAAGAAGGUCUUCGGAUCGUAAAGCUCUGUUGUCAGGGAAGAACAAGUACCGUUCGAAUAGGGCGGUACCUUGACGGUACCUGACCAGAAAGCCACGGCUAACUACGUGCCAGCCGCCGCGGUAA
rnacentral:rRNA from 1 species